rfam:Aspergillus niger DNA, contig: scaffold669_018, strain: An76, whole genome shotgun sequence.
GCCCCUGUGGCGCAAUCGGUAGCGCGUAAGACUUGCAAGUACUCCCGAGGACCCCUUUACAGCAAACACGUUACUAACUAUCUCUGCAGCUAGAUUGAGAUCUUAAGGCUGUGGGUUCGAUCCCCACCAGGGGCU